AGCAGCCGCGGUAAUUCCAGCUCCAAUAGCGUAUAUUAAAGUUGUUGCAGUUAAAAAGCUCGUAGUUGAAUUUCGGGAUUUGUCGGUUGGUCGGGCUUCACUGUCCGCACUGGCCUGAUGGAUUCCUACCUUCUGAAUAACCAGCAUGCUAUUAAUUUAGUGCGUUGGGGAAGCAGAGCUAUUACCUUGAAAAAAUUAGAGUGCUUAAAGCAGGCUUGUGCUUGAAUAGAUUAGCAUGGAAUAAUAAAAUAGGACGGCAUGGUUCUAUUUUGUUGGUUUCUAGGAUCACCGUAAUGAUUAAUAGGGAUAGUUGGGGGCAUUAGUAUUCAAUUGUCAGAGGUGAAAUUCUUGGAUUUAUUGAAGACUAACUUCUGCGAAAGCAUUUGCCAAGGAUGUUUUCAUUAAUCAAGAACGAAAGUUAGGGGAUCGAAGACGAUCAGAUACCGUCGUAGUCUUAACCAUAAACUAUGCCGACUAGGGAUCGGACGAUGUUAAUUUUUUAAUGACUCG
rnacentral:rRNA from 1 species